CACUUUCCACUACCAGAGCCCAAAUUUGCUGGGAUAUUUUACAAAUAUUUAUUUUUUUUCCAUGCUUUAUAUGCUCUUUUUGGUGUCAGAAGUACCUGGGCCAAGCAGAGAAUUUCUUGACAAAAGAGUUUUGUUGUUUUUUUUUUUUUUUUUUUUUUCUUUUUCUUUCCUUUCCUUUUCUCUCUUUCCCUCCCUUUCCUUCCUCGCAGCCGGGACUGGAGUCUCCUCAGCGAAACUCCUGUGCUUUCGCGGCCGCAUUCUGGUAUUCCAGAAGUAUUUCCAUGUGUGUAGCCCUUGUCUAAGUCCACUCUUGGUAUUUGGACCUCUGAUUAAGACAUCCUGGAUUCCUUAA
rnacentral:lncRNA from 1 species